GAUGAACGCUGGCGGCGUGCCUAAUACAUGCAAGUCGAGCGAAGCGGGGACGGGUGAGUAACAGGUGGAUAACCUCCUAUAAGACUGGGAUAACUUCGGGAAACCGGAGCUAAACCGGAUAAUUAUAGAUGGAUCCGCGUUGCAUUAGCUAGUUGGUAAGUGAACGGCUCACAAAGGAAACGAUGCAUAGCCGACCUGAGAGGGUGACCGGCCACACUGUAAUUGAGACACGGCCCAGACUCCUACGUGAGGCAGCAGUAGGGAAUCUUCCGCAAUGGGCGAAAGCCUGACGGAGCAACGCCGCGUGAGUGAUGAAGGUUUUCGGAUCGUAAAACUCUGUUGUUAGAGAAGCGGUAUCUAACCAGAAAGCCACGGCUAACUACGUGCCAGCCGCCGCGGUAAUAC
rnacentral:rRNA from 1 species